UGUUAACAGUCUCUAUAGUUUCCUUAUUAGGACUUCACAACGGUGCAAACAGAGUAUUGUGAGGAAGGCUUCAUCAGGUUCAGUGGAUCCCUCUGUCUCCUAGAAAUGAACUUUACAUCCCACCAAUGAGGUUUCCCACGACGCACACUGGACAUCUUUGUCAACAGUUGGGGCUGAACGGUGACCCUCUGCCAAAGAAGAGGAAAAGGGAAGCGAGGGGAGACAGGGUGACGGUUGGCUCUCAGGUGGUCCCAACUCCAUCCUCUCUGUUGAACAAACAUCUCCACACUGUGCUCGUCUGUCUGUGGGGGCUCUCAUCACCCUCGAGGCCAUUUCUGCCCAUUCAACAGGGUCUUAUAAAGACAGAUCCGCCCUACAAAUUAGUCCAUAUUGAGAAAGGGGAAGGUAGAUGGAGACGUAGAGAGAUGAGGAGUGGUCCAGGAGAGGAGAGGUGCACGAGUGAGAGAGGACGGGCCAAUCUGGCCCAGAAGUUACAGCUAAUUUCCAAACGAGAGAGGGAGACGGUUGGGAGGAGAGAGAGAGAGAGACGGUUGGGAGGAGAGAGAGAGAGACGGUUGGGAGGAGAGACGCUGGAAGGGAGGAAGGAGAGCCAGAGGGAGUGUUGCAUUUCUCCAUGGUCGUCUUUUCUUGCAGCCACACAGAAAAGCCUGCACUUCAGUGCAAUGGCCUCAAUAGCAUUUUCAAUUAUAGAAUGUACAUGAUCUACAAGCGCAUUGACUGAGACUCAAGGGACAUGGGUGUUGUAGAGAAUCCAUGACAAUAAAGAGGACACAGAAAUGAUCAUAGAGAGGUUGUGUGUCUACACAUGAUUGUUCUUGGUAGAAACUAUAAUAAAUGUUUUAGUUUUACAUCCCUCAGAGCAUCG
ensembl:lncRNA